rnacentral:rRNA from 1 species
CCUACGGGUGGCAGCAGUGGGGAAUAUUGGACAAUGGGGGCAACCCUGAUCCAGCCAUGCCGCGUGUGUGAAGAAGGCCUUAGGGUUGUAAAGCACUUUCAAUAGGGAGGAAAAGCUGAUGCCUAAUAAGUAUCAGCCCUGACGUUACCUGUAGAAGAAGCACCGGCAAACUCCGUGCCAGCAGCCGCGGUAAUACGGAGGGUGCGAGCGUUAAUCGGAAUUACUGGGCGUAAAGCGAACGUAGGCGGUUUGAUAAGCUGGGUGUGAAAGCCCCGGGCUUAACCUGGGAACUGCAUUCAGAACUGUCUGACUAGAGUAUGGUAGAGGGUAGUGGAAUUUCCUGUGUAGCGGUGAAAUGCGUAGAUAUAGGAAGGAACACCAGUGGCGAAGGCGGCUACCUGGACCAAUACUGACGCUAAGGUUCGAAAGCGUGGGGAGCA